rnacentral:rRNA from 1 species
AUGGCCGGCUUCGCCCUGGUCGGCCCGCCGGAGGCCGCGACCGCACUUGGCGCGGCCGCGGCGGCGCCAACGGGCGACACGUUCGUCGACCUGCUGGACGCCAGCUUCAACAAGGCGACGGUCGGGGCGGGGAAGGCGCUGACGGAGAACUCCUCGCCGACGUUCGUGUCCUCGGGGGACCCCUGCCUCGACUUCUUCUUCCACGUGGUGCCCGGCACGCCGGCCGCCUCCGUCGCCUCGCUGCUCGCCGCCGCCUGGGCCGCCGACCCGGUCUCCGCGCUCCGCCUCGUCGCCAACCUCCGCGGCGUGCGCGGCUCCGGCAAGUCCGACCGCGAGGGCUUUUACGCCGCCGCGCUCUGGCUCCACGCCCGCCACCCGGCCACGCUCGCGCGCAACGCCGCCUCCGUCGCCGCCUUCGGCUACCUCAAGGACCUGCCCGAGCUGCUCCACCGCAUCGUGCACGGCGGCAAGUCCACCCGGACCCCCGGCAAGAAGGCCCGCCGCGAAGCGGAGGACGGCGGCUUCGUACGCCGCGGCGGCCGCGGGCGGGGGAGAGGCCGCAAGCCGCGCAGCGAGGACCGCGCGCCGCCCGUCGGCGCGUCGGAGGAGCGUGUCGCGGCUAGCCUGGAGCGUGAUAGGGGGCUCGCGGCCGCGGCCGCGUUGUCGCGUCGGGCCAAGAGGGCGGAGGCCGCGGCGAGGGCGUUGGAGAUGUACAGCCGCGACUCCACGUACCGGUCCCUGCACGACCGCACGGCCGACCUGUUCGCCGAGCUCCUCGCGGAGGACAUGCGCAAGCUGUCUGUCGGCAAUGUCAAGGAUUUCUCGCUCGCGGCCAAGUGGUGCCCGUCGCUGGACUCGUCCUACGACCGCUCCACCCUCCUCUGCGAGGCCAUCGCGCGGCGGCUCUUCCCCAGAGGCUCGUCGUCGGAGCUCGGCGACGACCUCCCGGACGCGCACUACGCGUACCGCGCGCGCGAGCGCCUCCGCAGAGCGGCCAUCGUGCCGCUCCGCGCCGCGCUUAAGCUCCCCGAGGUGUUCAUCUCGGCGCGCGCCUGGGAGUCCGUGGUGUACACGCGCGUGGCCUCCGUGGCCAUGAAGAACUACAAGGACCUCUUCCUCAAGCACGACGCCGAGCGCUUCAACGCAUACCUCGCCGAUGUCAAGUCCGGCAAGAAGCGGAUCGCCGCGGGCGCGCUGCUCCCGCAUCAGAUCAUCGAGUCCCUCGGCGAAGAUGGGGACGACGGCGGAGUGGCCGACCUGCAGUGGCAGCGCAUGGUCGACGACAUGCGCGCUCUCGGCAAGCUCAACAGCUGCGUGGCCGUGUGCGACGUGUCCGGAAGCAUGUCCGGCCUGCCCAUGGACGUCUGCAUCGCGCUUGGCCUCCUCGUGUCCGAGCUCACCGACGACCCGUGGCGCGGCCGCGUGAUCACCUUCAGCGAGCAACCGAACAUCCACAUGAUCAAGGGCGACACCCUUUCCGAAAAGACUGAAUUCGUCCGGAACAUGGAUUGGGGUAUGAACACCGACUUCCAGGCAGUGUUCGACAAGAUCCUGGAGGUGGCCGUGGGCGCCGGCCUGCCGGCGGAGAAGAUGGUGCGGCGGGUGUUCGUGUUCAGCGACAUGGAGUUCGACCAGGCGUCGGCGAACCCGUGGGAGACAGACUACGAGGCAAUCGUGAGGAAGUUCUCGGAAGCUGGCUACGGCGCCGCCGUGCCGGAGAUAGUGUUCUGGAACCUGAGGGACUCCAGGGCCGUGCCGGUGAUGUCCGGACAGAAGGGGGUGGCGCUCGUCAGCGGGUUCUCCAAGAACUUGCUCAAGCUGUUCCUCGAUGGCGGUGGCACGUUCACCCCGAGGGUCGUCAUGGAAAAGGCAAUCGCCGGACCGGAGUAUGAUCAGUUGGCCGUGUUCGAUUGA